GCUGGGUGUGGUGGCGCAUGCCUGUAAUCCCGGCUACUUGGGGGCUGAGGCAGGAGAAUCACUUGAACCCAGGAGACAGAGGUUGCAGUCAGCCAAGAUCUCACCACUGCACUCUAGCCUGGGUGACAGAGUAAGACUCCGCCUCAA
rnacentral:SRP_RNA from 2 species